CAGUGAGGCAACAUCUACUAAAAGUGAAAGAUCAGGUUCACAUUUUUCCAGCUCUGUGUCUGUGAAGAGUGACCGGUCACUUGAUUAUCCACCAAACUUAAGUGAGGAAACAUCAUCAUCUACCAAAAGGGUUCAAUAUGAGACAUUAGAUUCAGACUUUCAGACUCACAGGAACCAAAAGAAUUUCAAAGACAAUCUCAUGUGGAUCU